CCCCAACCGAGGCUUCCUCCGCCAGCUGUGCCAGCUGGACCAGCAGCUGUGGAGUUCAAGCCAGAGCUGAGGGGCCAGGUGAGGGUCUUGCUUUCUGCUAUGGGGCUCGUCCGCUUUGCUACCUUGGUACUGGUCCUGUUGGAGACUCUGGGACAGGGGGAUGCUCAGAAGAUGGUAAGACCCUGGUUUGGAGUCCACCCCAGAGUCUGCUACUCUGUCUUCUUUCUGCUGCCCACACCCCUCUCAGACAGUCUUCACUCCCUAUAGAAACAGCAUCAAGUGUGCAAAGACAGGCGACUGGAAAUCAGCAGCGCAGACUGCUCAUCAGAGAAGGCCACAGCUCGGGUCAGACAUCCCCACAGGAUGAACUCAAUGCAGAAGCAGGACCUCAGGAGGCCCAAGAUCCAUGGGGCAGCCCGGGCAGGUCCCUACCAGCCGCCCACUCUGGCCUCACUGCAGCGGCUGUUGUGGGCCAACCGGACUUCCACACUGACCCACUUCAACGAGGUCUGGCCCAACCUUUACCUGGGAGAUGCGUAUGCAGCACGGGACAAGAGUAAACUGAUCCAGCUGGGGAUCACCCACAUCGUGAAUGCUGCUGCGGGCAAGUUUCAAGUGGACACAGGUGCCAAGUUCUAUCGUGGGAUGUCCUUGGAGUACUAUGGCAUUGAGGCUGAUGACAACCCUUUAUUUGACCUCAGUGUCUACUUUUUGCCUGUUGCUCAAUACAUCCGAACAGCCCUCAGUAUUCCCCAAGGCCGAGUGCUGGUCCAUUGCGCCAUGGGGGUGAGCCGCUCUGCCACGCUUGUCCUGGCCUUCCUCAUGAUCUACGAGGACAUGACACUGGUAGAGGCCAUCAAGGUGGUGCAGGCUCACCGCGAUAUCUGCCCCAACUCAGGCUUCCUCCGACAGCUCCAGGUCCUGGACAACCGACUGGGGCGGGAGACAGGGCGGCUAUGA